CGCCGUGGCGGGUAUACAGCCGGGCACCAAACAAAGGCCCCGCCCUCACGGAGCUUCCGUUCCCGUGUGUGUAGGAGGAUGGGGAGACAUCCAAGGAAUGGAUAUAUUCGGAUAGUGGUAAAUGUAUGAAGAAAAAGUAAAGGGAUAGAGAGUAGAAGGUACUAUUUAAAAUGGCCCGAUGGAAUCUCUCAGAACAGUUGUUUUAAUAGAAACCUGAAUUCUGGAGGAAGGGUGGUCCAGGCAGAAGGAAGAACAAAUACAAAAGGCUCUGAGCCAGGAACUUUACUUGCCAAGUUAUUACAGGAUCAGCAAGGAGAACUCACUAAAGGGGGCAUGUAGGAUUUCACUAUAGAGUGGAAUUCAGUUCAGCUAUCGGGCUUUCAUGCCUACCAUCCCAGUGAAGGCAAGUCACCAAUGACCCACAUUGCCUAAUCCCUUGGUUAUUUCUCAGUCCUUUAUUGUUUGGCCUCUCAAGCAGGCUUUGGUAAGAGAGGCCACUAGAGGUGAGAAGAGGCUGCUGCUAUAAUCCAGGUGAGAAUUAGUGGUAACUUGGACAGAGCGAGGGUGGAGGUGGUAAGAAGUAGCCAAAUUCUGGAUAUAUUUUGUAGACACAAUCAAAAUGAUUUUGCUAAUGGAUUGGAUGUGGGAUAUGAGGGAAAGAAAGGAGUCAGGAUGGUUCCAAGAUUUUUGGUAAAUGGAAGAACAGAGUUUCCAUUUGCCAAGAUUGAGGGAAGACAGAGCAGCACCUUGGUAGGGAGAAUACGAAAUGCUUGAUUUAGUUUGUGAUGCCUUUUAGAAUCAAGUGAAAAUGUAGAGUAGAGAGUUGUACAUAUGUAUGGUUUAGGGAAGAAGAUGGGGCUGGAAAUAUAAUUUUGGAAAUUAUCAUUGUAUAUAAAAUGGUAUUUAAAGCUAUAGGACUAAAUGCACCAAAGAAGUGAGUGUAGAUAGAGUGGAAGUCUGGUUACUGAGCCCUGUGACACUCACUGUUUAGAGAUCUAGAAGAAGAGGAGAAUCCAGGAGAGGAGAAUGAAGCAGCAGCUCUGCCAGAAGACUGCUCACUGAAAGCUGAAUCGGAUCAGAGGACACUGGAUGCUCUCAAGCUGUGAUCGCCCACAGAACUGACCUCGGUGGCUACAGAAAUGUGUUCUGAGAGUUCUUCCCUCGCUCAGGACAGAGCGCCUACUGCCAAUUCCUCUUGACGUUCC